CAGUAGCCGCGGGAAUACGGAGGGGGCUAGCGUUGUUCGGAAUUACUGGGCGUAAAGCGCACGUAGGCUGCUUUGUAAGUUAGAGGUGAAAGCCUGGUGCUCAACACCAGAACUGCCUUUAAGACUGCAGAGCUAGGACGUCGGAGAGGUGAGUGGAAUUCCGAGUGUAGAGGUGAAAUUCGUAGAUAUUCGGAAGAACACCAGUGGCGAAGGCGGCUCACUGGACGACUGUUGACGCUGAGGUGCGAAAGCGUGGGGAGCAAACGGGAUUAGAUACCCCUGUAGUCCCUGUCUCUUAUAC
rnacentral:rRNA from 1 species